UUUAUUGGAGAGUUUGAUCCUGGCUCAGGAUGAACGCUGGCGGCGUGCCUAAUACAUGCAAGUCGAGCGAAUGGAUUGAGAGCUUGCUCUCAAGAAGUUAGCGGCGGACGGGUGAGUAACACGUGGGUAACCUGCCCAUAAGACUGGGAUAACUCCGGGAAACCGGGGCUAAUACCGGAUAAUAUUUUGAACUGCAUAGUUCGAAAUUGAAAGGCGGCUUCGGCUGUCACUUAUGGAUGGACCCGCGUCGCAUUAGCUAGUUGGUGAGGUAACGGCUCACCAAGGCAACGAUGCGUAGCCGACCUGAGAGGGUGAUCGGCCACACUGGGACUGAGACACGGCCCAGACUCCUACGGGAGGCAGCAGUAGGGAAUCUUCCGCAAUGGACGAAAGUCUGACGGAGCAACGCCGCGUGAGUGAUGAAGGCUUUCGGGUCGUAAAACUCUGUUGUUAGGGAAGAACAAGUGCUAGUUGAAUAAGCUGGCACCUUGACGGUACCUAACCAGAAAG
rnacentral:rRNA from 1 species